CGCCAAGCGGAGAUUAUGCAGCGAGCGAUGGUUAAGAGCUUGCUCUUAUGAAGUAGCGGCGGCGGGUGAGUAACACGUGGGUAACCUGCCCAUAAGACUGGGUAACUCCGGGAAACCGGGGCUAAUACCGGAUAACAUUUUGAACCGCAUGGUCGAAAUUGAAAGGCGGCUUCGGCUGUCACUUAUGGAUGGACCCGCGUCGCAUUAGCUAGUGGGAGGAACGGCUCACCAAGGCAACGAUGCGUAGCCGACCUGAGAGGGGAUCGGCCACACUGGGACUGAGACACGGCCCAGACUUAUACGGGAGGCAGCAGUAGGGAAUCUUCCGCAAUGGACGAAAGUCUGACGGAGCAACGCCGCGUGAGUGAUGAAGGCUUUCGGGUCGUAAAACUCUGUUGUUAGGGAAGAACAAGUGCUAGUUGAAUAAGCUGGCACCUUGACGGUACCUAACCAGAAAGCCACGGCUAACUACGUGCCAGCAGCCGCGGAAUACGUAGGUGGCAAGCGUUAUCCGGAAUUAUUGGGCGAAAGCGCGCGCAGGUGGUUUCUUAAGUCUGAUGUGAAAGCCACGGCUCAACCGUGGAGGGCAUUGGAAACUGGGAGACUUGAGUGCAGAAGAGGAAAGUGGAAUUCCAUGUGUAGCGUGAAUGCGUAGAGAUAUGGAGGAACACAGUGGCGAAGCGACUUUCUGGUCUGUAACUGACACUGAGCGCGAAAGCGUGGGGAGCAAACAGGAUAGAUACCCUGGUAGUCCACGCCGUAAACGAUGAGUGCUAAGGUAGAGGGUUCCGCCUUUAGUGCUGAAGUACGCAUCAGCACUCCGCUGGGAGAACGGCGCAGCUGAACUCAAAGAAUGACGGGGCCCGCAUACGGGGAACAUGCGUUAUUCGAGCACCGAAGUACCUACAGCCUGGACUCUCUGGCAACUAGAUGGUUCUAGGACAAGUGGACCAGUGCAUUGUCUGCGUGA
rnacentral:rRNA from 1 species